UACGUAGGGUGCAAGCGUUAAUCGGAAUUACUGGGCGUAAAGCGUGCGCAGGCGGUUCCAUAAGACAGAUGUGAAAUCCCCGGGCUCAACCUGGGAGCUGCAUUUGUGACUGUGGAGCUAGAGUACGGUAGAGGGGGAUGGAAUUCCGCGUGUAGCAGUGAAAUGCGUAGAUAUGCGGAGGAACACCAAUGGCGAAGGCAAUCCCCUGGACCUGUACUGACGCUCAUGCACGAAAGCGUGGGGAGCAAACAGG
rnacentral:rRNA from 1 species